CAACAGGGAUUGCCUCAGUAACGGCGAGUGAAGCGGCAAAAGCUCAAAUUUGAAAUCUGGCACCUUCGGUGUCCGAGUUGUAAUUUGAAGAAGGUAACUUUGGAGUUGGCUCUUGUCUAUGUUCCUUGGAACAGGACGUCACAGAGGGUGAGAAUCCCGUGCGAUGAGAUGUCCAAUUCUAUGUAAAGUGCUUUCGAAGAGUCGAGUUGUUUGGGAAUGCAGCUCUAAGUGGGUGGUAAAUUCCAUCUAAAGCUAAAUAUUGGCGAGAGACCGAUAGCGAACAAGUACAGUGAUGGAAAGAUGAAAAGAACUUUGAAAAGAGAGUGAAAAAGUACGUGAAAUUGUUGAAAGGGAAGGGCUUGAGAUCAGACUUGGUAUUUUGCAAGCCUUACCCUCGUGGUGGGGUCCCCUGCAGUUUACUGGGCCAGCAUCGGUUUGGAUGGUGGGAUAAUGACAUUGGAAUGUGGCUCUGCUUCGGUAGAGUGUUAUAGACUUUGUUGAUACCACCUGUCUAGACCGAGGACUGCGUCUUUGACUAGGAUGUUGGCAUAA
rnacentral:rRNA from 1 species